rnacentral:rRNA from 1 species
AUUGAACGCUGGCGGCAGGCCUAACACAUGCAAGUCGAGCGGAUGAAGGGAGCUUGCUCCUGGAUUCAGCGGCAGACGGGUGAGUAAUGCCUAGGAAUCUGCCUGGUAGUGGGGGAUAACGUCCGGAAACGGGCGCUAAUACCGCAUACGUCCUGAGGGAGAAAGUGGGGGAUCUUCGGACCUCACGCUAUCAGAUGAGCCUAGGUCGGAUUAGCUAGUUGGUGGGGUAAAGGCCUACCAGGGCGACGAUCCGUAACUGGUCUGAGAGGAUGAUCAGUCACACUGGAACUGAGACACGGUCCAGACUCCUACGGGAGGCAGCAGUGGGGAAUAUUGGACAAUGGGCGAAAGCCUGAUCCAGCCAUGCCGCGUGUGUGAAGAAGGUCUUCGGAUUGUAAAGCACUUUAAGUUGGGAGGAAGGGCAGUAAGUUAAUACCUUGCUGUUUUGACGUUACCAACAGAAUAAGCACCGGCUAACUUCGUG